NNNNNNNNNNNNNNNNNNNNCUCCCUCCCUCCUCUUUUUCUCUCUUUCUCUCUGUCUGUCUCUCUCUCUCCCCCUCCUUCCCUCUCCCUCUCCCUCCCUCUCUGUCUCUCUCUGUCUCUCUCUCUGUCUCUGUCUCUGUCUCUCUGUCUCUGUCUCUGUCUCUCUGUCUCUGUCUCUGUCUCUGUCUCUCUCUCUCUGUCUCUCUCUCUCUCUGUCUGUCUCUCUCUCUCUGUCUCUGUCUCUCUCUGUCUCUCUCUCUGUCUCUGUCUCUGUCUCUGUCUCUCUCUGUCUCUGUCUCUCUCUCUCUGUCUCUCUCUCUCUGUCUGUCUGUCUCUCUCUCUCUGUCUCUGUCUCUCUCUGUCUCUCUCUCUCUGUCUCUCUCUCUGUCACUCUGUCUCUGUCUCUCUCUCUGUCUCUCUCUCUGUCUCUGUCUCUCUCUCUGUCUCUCUCUCUGUCUCUGUCUCUCUCUCUCUCUCUCUCUCUUUCUCUCCAAUUCACCAUGCUCAUCCCCAGCUCCCCCCGCCAUUUUCUCCUCUUUCUAGAGGCACUCAAAGAGGCCUCCAAGAUGGCUGCCAGUUCAGUGUAUGGGCGGGCCAUUCCUCUUUUCAGCUCAGAUUUGGUAGGGGAGGGGUCUGAGGAAGCCCCAGUGCCCGAUGUGAAGAAGGCCAGGGUGGCUAACAAUUGGGAGGCCACCCGACAUCUCUGGGCGGCUGGGGCUACACAUGCAAAGUGGAUAAUUGACACAACUCUCAAGAUGAUUCAAGCCAAAAAAUGUCUUGCCUCAAUUAUCUGCCUAUUUCAGACAAGUGUGUUUGGGACUGAAUUAUCCACAUAAUUGCUUCAAUUUUCCACUUCACUUUGCAUACAGGGACACAGGCCCAGAGUCCCCAAUUUGCUAGUUCGUCAGGCUCAUGAAUAAUAAUACUAGCACACAUCUCUUUUACAUACAUUAUCACAUUGGGGCCUCACAACAGCCCUGUGACGUAGACAAUGCAAGCCUUUGAUUGCGAUGAGAAUAUUCUCUCCAUAUUUCAGAUGAGGAAGCUGAGGCUCUUAGACUUGCCCAGGAAGUGGAAAAACUGGGCCUUGUGUCCUCUUCUGGCCAGUUCCGUGCCCCUCGGACCCUCCCAAC
rnacentral:lncRNA from 1 species